rnacentral:rRNA from 1 species
GACGAACUGUCCUAACGUUGUUCGGAAUCACUGGGCUUAAAGGGCGCGUAGGCGGUCACGCACGUCCGUUGUGAAAUCGCUCGGCUCAACUGGGCGGGGUCAGCGGAUACGGUGUGACUGGAGCAAGCUAGGGGGCAAUGGAAUUCCCGGUGUAGUGGUGGAAUGCGUAGAUAUCGGGAGGAACACCAGUGGCGAAAGCGGCUUCCUGGUCCAGCACCGACGUUCAGGCACGAAAGCGUGGGGAGCAAACAGG